UCCCUAGUAGCUCAGAUGGUAAAGCAUCUGACUGCAAUGCAGGAGACCCGGGUUUGAUCCCUGGGUCGGGAA
rnacentral:tRNA from 1 species